CUCUUUGCCCCCGCCCUUCUCUCCGGCGGCACCACGGUACGAACGGGGGAGGGACACGUUCCUCAGCUCGUCGGAGGGGUGAGUCAAUUCCUUUUGAUAUCUUUUCCUUGUGUGCCUAUUUCUCAAAUAAAGGCUCUGUCAUUGCCUUCAUUUGUUCUACAGCAGGGAAAAAAAAAUGCCUUCAACUGCAUGAAGGGGAAGAAAAUCUUCCCUUCUGAGUUGUAGACUGGAGGGAAUGUGGUUCUUCUGGCAAAGGCUGACCUUUUAUAUUUCUACUUCUUUCUGUUUUAAAUCAUUUUAGUCAAAGGAGGGGACACUGAUUAUUGCCCGUAUAGUUUACCUGGUUAUUUUCUGAAUGAGGUAGGUCCAAGUGAAGAAGUCUUAUUUUUUUUUUUUUUUUUAUAGGGGAGAAGGGAGCUUUCUAGAUGGAAAGUUCUAAAUAUUCUGGUUCUGGGGUCUAUUGAGGCACAGGAAAUAACUGUGCUUUAAUAUCACUAUCUAUUAUCCCAGGAGCAUACAGGGCUGGGAUCUGUGCCCAGAGGGACAUGGAACAUGCUGUGGAGCUGGGUUCUGAGGCUGGAUUUCAACCAGCCUGCAUUUUACCUCUCCUCCUCAAUGUGUUGUCUUUCCCUGGACAACACAUUAACUGAAGUUGAGAUGUGAAACUACUCCAGAAAAAUCUUUCCAAGGAAGGGGUAACCUAGGCCACGCUGCAGUGUCUGCUGUUGUUUGUGGAUAUAGCAAUUUGGAAGAGGCCUUCUGCGCAGCCUCAUGGGGUACACAAUGGUGCCCUGUGGGACUGCUUGUGGCUUUUCAGUAAGAACUGUCCUUGCAUCUCCAGGCAAGGAAAAAUUAAUCCUGUUUUAAUAAAUUAACCCACAGGAGAGGUCCAGCAAGCUGAAUUCAAAUGCACUGGAAGUAAUUAUGUAGCUGGCAAAACAAGGUUAUUAAAAAUCCCAACUCACCCAUAAAAAGUGAGACGCAGGAAACCAAUCCUGUGGCCAAGCUUCACCAACUCUCCCUGCCUUGCAGCAGCUCCUGUUAGCAGCACAACUCCCAUCUUCUUCAGAGUGCACAGCCACUUGUAGGCACUCUCAUCAUCAUAUAUAAUUUCUUCAAAAGGCAUUUUGGGAAGCUGUAGGUCUGAGCCCCAGUACUGAUGUUCUGAAUAGGAAGGAAUAGAGAAGCAAGCAUUCAGCUAUUUUAGCAUCGGAGCACAGAACAGUCAUGAAGUUAAAGAGAUUUUUACGUGUUUGUGAAAAUGCCCUUGGUCCUGCAGUCAACCUGCAGGAACCUGAACCCCAAUCCCUAAGUUUUUUUUAGAUAAAAAAUAAUCUUUACGGUAAAGUGCAACAAAACUUUGCAGUAAAGAAGCAGAUUUAAAUCAGAAGUUUGGUGCACAGUACAGCAGAAGACAUACACCAGUGUAACAGCUUAGAAGCUGAGUAACUACAUCAGAUGCACCAGUGACUAAUCAAUUUUCUUUUGUAGGUUUGUCUCCACAAAGGCACAUCCAGCCACAUGAAAUCCUGCAGGAUGGUGUUAUUCUUCAUCUUUUUCUUAUUUGAAGUGCACUGAUGCUAUUUCAGAUGAAUGCCAAUAACAGCCCAAGAUCAUUUACAAGCCCACAGGAUACUGGGAGGACAGAAACUCCAUUCCUUCCACUGUGGUACUCCAUACUUCAGACAACUCUAUGACUACGAGUCAAUCAUAUGACUACAAGUCAAUCAUCUUACCCCAUACACUUUGCUAAGACCACACCUUGGAUUGAUUGUGACAAAAAAUUGUUGAUGAAUUCUGGGACUAGGAGAGGAUCCAGCCACAUUUAGGCUCCUUAUCUCCAUGGUUCGAGGAGUUUAGGAAGUAAGUGGGUCCACUCUGAACCUUGUGACUCAAUGGGAGUGCCCUGUAUGUGUGUGUUUAACCCCACCCUCUAUGCAGAACAUCAAGCGUAUCCAGCCAUCUUAAUUCUUGUUAAUGUUGUGAUUUAACAGCAACUUAUAUUAUGUCAGUAAACAUCUUCCUGUUCCUCUUCUAUGAACAAAGAAUAUAGUGCAGUUGUUUCCAUCUGCCACGCCACAACAGGAGAUGGCAUCUGCUGGGGAUUGCUUCUCCAGGACAUAUGUAAGAAAGUGUUGGAAACCUUCCCAAGAUGAUGAUGAUGAUUAGAAGUAGUAGUAGCAUGUACUUUCUCCCUUGUGCAAUCACCUAGUCCUUUAAGAGGACUCCAGCACAGAUACUCAGUGUUGGGACUGAAUGGACACCCAACAGGGCGAGGUUGCUAUGGCUGUUCCCUAUUGCCCCUAGAAAGUGGAAGCAAAUAAACCAAGUAUAACCACAGAGUGUGGAUAAGCACUUUGCAGGUCUGUAACAAUUCCAGUAGCAAAAGGCACUUGAUAAGCCAGCAGGGCAUAAACACACAGAGAAUGGGCAAGCAGGAAGGCGCAGAUGGCUGCAUGCUUGAUGUAUGGGUAGCAAGAACAAGAAGUAAACAAGAGUACAACAACAGCAGAUGAGGGCUCCUCCUUUCCAUUCAAGAGAAGAAGAAAACACCAACACAGAAUGAAGAAAAAUGAAGGAAUAAAGGUGUACCACACCACUGGUUUCCCACCUCAAGUAGUACUCAGAGUCCUGUUCUUUGGAAGUUGCGCAAGCCACAGAGUAUCAACACUCCUCUAUUUUAUACUCACAGAUAAUUUAGGAUGAGUCUUUUGAAGACUACUUGUGUGUUGAUGUGAUGUAUACUGUUAAUAAAUGUCAAUCCAGUGAAGUGCUACUUUGAAACUUAAAA